rnacentral:rRNA from 1 species
UACAUGCAAGGCGAAGGGGCAGCAAUGUCACUGUCGUACGGGUGCGUAACGCGUAUGCAACCUACCUAUCACUGGGGGAUAGCCCGGGGAAACCCGGAUUAAUACCGCAUAAAACAGGGGCACCGCAUGGUGAUAUUUGUUAAAGAUUUAUUGGUGAUAGAUGGGCAUGCGUUCGAUUAGCUAGUUGGCGGGGUAACGGCCCACCAAGGCGACGAUCGAUAGGGGAGCUGAGAGGUUGAUCCCCCACACGGGCACUGAGAUACGGGCCCGACUCCUACGGGAGGCAGCAGUAGGGAAUAUUGGGCAAUGGAUGCAAGUCUGACCCAGCCAUGCCGCGUGCCGGAUGAAGGCCCUCAGGGUUGUAAACGGCUUUUAUUCGGGAAGAAGAGCAGGGAUGCGUCCUUGUGUGACGGUACCGAAUGAAUAAGCACCGGCUAACUCCGUGCCAGCAGCCGCGGUAAUACGGAGGGUGCGAGCGUUGUCCGGAUUUAUUGGGUUUAAAGGGUGCGUAGGUGGCCUGUUAAGUCAGUGGUGAAAUAUGGCAGCUCAACUGUCAGGGUGCCAUUGAUACUGCGGAGCUUGAGUACAGAUGAGGUAGGCGGAAUCGACGGUGUAGCGGUGAAAUGCUUAGAUAUCGUCAAGAACACCGAUAGCGAAGGCAGCUUACUAGGCUGUAACUGACGCUGAGGCACGAAAGUGUGGGGAUCAAACAGGAUUAGAUACCCUGGUAGUCCACACUGUAAACGUUGAUGACUCGCUGUUGGCGAUACACGGCCAGCGGCAGAGAGAAAUCGUUAAGU